rnacentral:rRNA from 1 species
UACGUAGGGUGCGAGCGUUGUCCGGAAUUAUUGGGCGUAAAGAGCUUGUAGGCGGUUUGUCGCGUCUGCCGUGAAAAUUCGAGGCUCAACCUCGAACUUGCGGUGGGUACGGGCAGACUAGAGUGUGGUAGGGGGAGACUGGAAUUCCUGGUGUAGCGGUGAAAUGUGCAGAUAUCAGGAGGAACACCGGUGGCGAAGGCGGGUCUCUGGGCCGAUACUGACGCUGAGGAGCGAAAGCGUGGGGAGCGAACAGG